CAAUGAUUUAUUGAUGAGCAUUCUUACUGCUCACUUCUUGUAAGUGUGUACAAUUAAAGUGUGUCAUUUUACAUUUUAAACUUUGCUGCACUAUGUCCAGUUUUUUCUUUUGACAUGUAUUCCUGGAAUUGGAAAUUUCUGCAAAUGAACAUUUAAAGAGAUACUGAUGGGCUUGAACAACUCGUACAUCUUGUGAGUGCAUUAUUACUAUCAAGGGGCCAUUUCUUUAUUGUAUGGUGUUGCCC